CGUGUACGUAAAUAUGUGCGGCAAGAACCAACCACCGGUUUAUUAGACACUGUUGCUACGAAAUGGAUCAAGAUUUUACGGUCAUUCGGUAACAUUCGACUGCAUCGUCGUAACCAUUCCCUACUAAAAAUAGUACGUUCGUAUAUUACUUCUACAUACAUACGUACGUAUUGACUCUUCGGACUUUAUUUAACCCUCUCUUUCCGUUUUUCAUACCUAAUACACUUUUACUUCUUUCUUCCUUUAUCAUCCUUUUUUUAACCCACUUUAGUCAAUCUUAAAAUGUUCUCAAUCUUAUACGAUUACGAUCAUUAUUGUCUUGCGUUUUCUUUUCUCUUAUCUAAAUUUCGUUUCUUG
rnacentral:lncRNA from 1 species